AGGCACUUGGUGUAGGGGUAACACGCCGCUAUCGGUAACACGUUGUGUGAAGUAGUGGAGUCCUUUGGUUCGAAUCCAGAGAGUGCCAA